rnacentral:lncRNA from 1 species
AUGACGUCACCGGCGGCGGCAGGCCCCGCCCCGGCCCCGGGCGGCAGGCCGCAUGACGUCACCGAGGCCCCACCCCUCCGGAGCGAGUUCGGUCCUGGCGUUCAUUUCAUUCCUGUCCUCAUUCCGAACAUUCUUAGCAUCGCUCGCGCCGUGCCGCGCCGCCCGAGCCGAGCCGAGCCUCUGCAGCCGCCGCCGCGGCCCCGCCGCCCGCCGCGGGCGCCCAUCAAGCACUUUGCAGACUCGCUUCCACCCUGCGGGCCAGUCCGCGCGGCGGGGCCCGGGCUCGGGGCGGCCGCGUCCGGGGACAGGCCAUGCAGUGAAUCCCCCCCACCCCGUCCACCUUUGCCCGGAGCCGCGGGCAGGAGCCCAGUUCGUCCAGCCGGCCCCGGGGCAGGAGCGGUGCUAGGCAGGGGUGGGGUGGCCCAGCCCGGGGAUCGGGAAUCGGGGAGGGAGCCGGGCUCCGAGCUGAAGGCGGGGGAAGCGGCGCCGAAGUUUGCCUCGGACUCGCCAGGCGCUGCGGCGGCUCCCUUCGCCGAGGUUUAUUUUCUUGAAAAGGCUCCAGGCUUCGGCUUGGAAAAUCCAACCGCCAAAAUUGAGCCCAGCAGCUGGAGCGGCAGUGAGAGCCCUGCCGAAAACAUGGAAAGGAUGAGUGACUCUGCAGAUAAGCCUAUUGACAAUGAUGCAGAAGGGGUCUGGAGCCCCGACAUUGAGCAGAGCUUUCAGGAAGCCUUGGCUAUCUAUCCACCAUGCGGGAGGAGGAAAAUCAUCUUAUCAGACGAAGGCAAGAUGUAUGGUAGGAAUGAAUUGAUAGCCAGAUACAUCAAACUCAGGACAGGGAAGACGAGGACCAGAAAACAGGUGUCUAGUCACAUUCAGGUUCUUGCCAGAAGGAAAUCUCGUGAUUUUCAUUCCAAGCUAAAGGAUCAGACUGCAAAGGAUAAGGCCCUGCAGCACAUGGCCGCCAUGUCGUCAGCCCAGAUCGUCUCGGCCACUGCCAUUCACAACAAGCUGGGGCUGCCCGGGAUCCCACGCCCCACCUUCCCGGGGGCGCCGGGGUUCUGGCCAGGAAUGAUACAAACAGGGCAGCCUGGAUCUUCACAAGACGUCAAGCCCUUCGUGCAGCAGGCCUACCCCAUCCAGCCAGCAGUCACGGCCCCCAUUCCAGGGUUUGAACCUGCGUCAGCCCCAGCUCCCUCGGUCCCAGCCUGGCAGGGCCGCUCCAUUGGCACAACCAAACUUCGCCUGGUGGAAUUCUCAGCUUUCCUUGAACAGCAGCGAGACCCAGACUCGUACAACAAACACCUCUUCGUGCACAUCGGGCACGCCAACCAUUCUUACAGUGACCCAUUGCUCGAAUCAGUGGACAUUCGUCAGAUUUAUGACAAAUUUCCUGAAAAGAAAGGUGGCUUAAAGGAACUGUUUGGAAAGGGCCCUCAAAAUGCCUUCUUCCUCGUAAAAUUCUGGGCUGAUUUAAACUGCAAUAUUCAAGACGAUGCCGGGGCUUUUUAUGGCGUAACCAGUCAGUAUGAGAGUUCUGAAAAUAUGACAGUCACCUGCUCCACCAAAGUUUGCUCCUUUGGGAAGCAAGUAGUAGAAAAAGUAGAGACGGAAUACGCAAGGUUUGAGAAUGGCCGAUUUGUCUACCGAAUAAACCGCUCCCCAAUGUGUGAAUAUAUGAUCAACUUCAUCCACAAGCUCAAACACUUACCAGAGAAAUAUAUGAUGAACAGUGUUUUGGAAAACUUCACAAUUUUAUUGGUGGUAACAAACAGGGAUACACAAGAAACUCUCCUGUGCAUGGCCUGUGUAUUUGAAGUUUCAAAUAGUGAACAUGGAGCACAGCAUCAUAUUUACAGGCUUGUAAAGGACUAA